GGGGUACUGGAUGGUUAAACGUGCCGUGGGAACUAAAGCUUGCCUAUUGGGAAAGGCAGUAACGUGCAAAUACCUUAGACAAGAUAACUUUCUGGAGGUUAGGUUCCAAGUUCAUUUUCGACUUAGAUAUGACAUGUCAAAAAAAAGUUUCUUCGAGAUAGAUAUUAUAGGAAAAGAAAAUAUUUCUCUUGUGCUCGGGCUUUUAUGCUUACAUGGCUUUGCUGAACUAUUGAACUCAAGUGGCUUUCCUUCAUUACAUAUGCAGAUUUGCAAAUACCUUAGACAAGAUAACUUUCUAGAGGUUAGGUUCCAAGUUCAUUUUCGACUUAGAUAUGACAUGUCAAAAAAAAGUUUCUUCGAGAUAGAUAUUAUAGGAAAAGAAAAUAUUUCUCUUGUGCUCGGGC
rnacentral:lncRNA from 1 species